rnacentral:rRNA from 1 species
UACGUAGGGGGCAAGCGUUGUCCGGAAUCAUUGGGCGUAAAGAGCGUGUAGGCGGCUUGGUAAGUCCGCUGUGAAAGUCCAGGGCUCAACCCUGGAAUGCCGGUGGAUACUGUCGAGCUCGAGUCCGGAAGAGGCGAGUGGAAUUCCUGGUGUAGCGGUGAAAUGCGCAGAUAUCAGGAGGAACACCGAUGGCGAAGGCAGCUCGCUGGGACGUGACUGACGCUGAGACGCGAAAGCGUGGGGAGCAAACAGG